rnacentral:lncRNA from 1 species
GGCCUGGCAUGCAUUCAUCAACUUUAUAGUAGCGCCGGCGUGGAAUUCGGGUCUCCUGAGGGGGGAGCGUGGGGCCACUGGAAACAAGAGCCACUUUCAGCGCGGCCUUCUCCAGGAACGCAGAUAUAAUUGACUCUAAGGUACAAAAACGUUUGCACUUACAGCCUCCCUGGUUCCAAUCAGGACAUGAAGGGAAUGUGCCAAGACGCCAGAGAAUAAGCCAGUCCUCACAAACUCUCCAGCCAAGCUCUGCAAACUCUGGAAGGCGGAAUCGAGACUGUUUCAGUUUCAGAUCCGGCCCAGUUCCUCGUGUCUAAUUAGCUCCAGCUAUCUCUCUAUUGGUGAGAAGAGAACGAACGGAAGAACGAGCUCAUUCAAGUUUGGGGUAGAAGGAGAAAGUCAGAGCCCACGAUGCCCUGAGCACAGGCUGAAGACGAGAGAAUGCCUGUGGGGAGGAAGAGAG